GUUUCUGUAGCGUAUUGGUUAUCACGUUCGCCUGACACGCGAAGGGUCCUCGGUUCGAGACCGAGCAGAAACA